AGGAAUGACUCGCUGACAGAGUUCCCAUCAGAGUUUCCUUAACGCUCAUGCCGCGCCGCUCCCACCAAUUUACGUUCCUAAUUGUUGAAUAGUUUGAUCAUUUGAGCUUGUGAAUAAUUUGGGCUUAUUUUCUUAUGGGCUCACAACUGAAACAUUUUCAUCUUAUGAAGCCUCCCAAUUCUUUCUCAGUGCAUCAUGGGGAAAAAAAGAUGGUGAAAUCUCUAUUUUCUGGGACCUUAAAAUCCACAAACAAAUCUCCUCGAGCUUUUCAGACGCGUGGAGCAAAAUAAAGCCGUCGUCUUGCCUGCUGACAACUUUCAGUCGCAGCUUCACCCGUCUUCAGAGUGAUAUGUCCAACAGCUGACUGUCCCAGGAAACCUUUCAAAGUCAAGUUCCCAGCUGUGUCCCUCCUGCCCCUUGGAGACAGCGUCCCAUACACAAGAGGGUCUAAGCCCCCUUGUCUGGGUUGAUGGUCCUGAUAUAAUGAAGGGGGGACCCUGAACCUUUACAUUGCUAAAUUUGCAACAUCUCCCAAGCUGACUCUCUUCCCUGUUUGGACUGAUCAAAGACCUUCCACAUCUCCUCAGAAGAUGUGGCCAAGGAUUUGCACAACGUUGCCCCAGCAUCCCCAGCUGCGGUUCCCCACUCUUGUGCUCAUCUUACCAGCCGAUUGACAGGCCACUUUUGCCCGGUCUUUCAGAAAAGAUGGAUGCAACUGAAAAAUCAGUUGCAUCACACUAGGACAGGAAAGAGCAACAAGUGCCAGGUUCCUGAAUCGUGUUCUGGGGUCAGGAGUUCUAGGGUGGCCUGGCUGAACAGUUGAGGAACAUAACCCCGAGAGGUAGAUGGAGGGGCAUGAGAAACUGGGAGCUGCUGUCAAGGUCAGCAAAGUUGGUAGACAUAGCAGCCACUGCCUACAUGUUGCUAUGGUCCACCAAGCAAGAUCCCUUGUGGAUCCACUGGGUCCAUGGUUGGCCAGAUCAUACUGUAAGGAAUUCAGAGAAGAAAGACCCACAAGCAGCCCUUCACAUCCGGACCACAUCCACCUGCAUAAGAUGAAUGAAGAAAGAAAAACAGCAAUAAAUAGAAGAGGGGGAGCGAUAAAACGAGAAGGGCAGCCAGGAAUAGAACAGGGUCCCUGUUCAACGGGUUCCAGGGUUACAGAUCAACGGAACUGGUCCUGGAUCAGCUAACUGUCACUUCUCAUUUAUUAAUGAACAGUGUCGAGUGUCGAGGCUGAGCCUGGUUGGAGUCACCUUUCACUGGUUCCAUCCUCCUCCAGACCCCUCCGGACUUGAAUGUGAGUACGAUGAUGUCAUCCAGCCGCAGGGGCGUGUUUGGGGGUGUGGCCAGAGGAGGUGCCUUCUUGGUGUUGGUUUUAGAAACAGCAGGGGCCGGAUAACAAUGAUGACUGAACCCUUGACCUUUCAGCUGUGACCUUCCAACACGGAGUGAGCAGAUGGGUGAAACCUCUGUGCCGCAGAAGGGUGGCAUCUAGCUUGCUGUUACCGUUAGCAUGGGUUAAUGACCUGAGGUCACGACCUUGUGGAUUAUGCAGAUUCAUAAAACAACAGUUAGAGCACCCAUCACCAUCUAAACCUUAACAAGCGGAGACGCCCAUUUCAGGACACCUUCCAAACUCCUCCUUCGCUGAUGGGGUUGGUGCAAAUUGUCACCUGGGAACUCUCUUGUCCUUCAUCCCGUCUAACCUACAGUUUGGGAACAAACCCGGCCUUGUGCAGCUCCAACAAUGUCAGUGACACUCUACACUGCCCCAUGGCCACUAAUUGUUAGCUCACAAUGCUUCCUGGUAUUGUGCUCAACAAUGCCCGUUCUGAAUAGAGACUCUAACCUACUUGUAUUGUCGCUAAUUGGUUUCCUGAGAGGAGGCAAAAAUAAGGAGAGAAAGGGAAAGAGAAGAUGUUGGUAAUGGACUGAAGUUUCAUUGGAGUCGCCAGUAAAUAGAGUUCACAAAGGGCCCUUCUGGGGUCGAGGGCCGCGGGUCGGAGGUGAAGAAGAAGAGGCGCACCUGCGCAGGCUG
rnacentral:lncRNA from 1 species